GCUGGGUGCAGCUACUGCUCAUGCCUGUAAUCCCAGCACUUUGGGAGGCUGAGGUGGGCAGAUCACGAGGUCAGGAGAUUGAGACUAUCCUGGCAAACAUGGUGAAACCCCAUCUCUAUUAAAAAUACAAAAAUUAGCUGGGCGUGGCGGCACGUACCUGUAAUCCCAGCUACUCGGGAGGCUGAGGCAGGAGAAUCNNNNNNNNNNGAUUCUCCUGCCUCAGCCUCCCGAGUAGCUGGGAUUACAGGUACGUGCCGCCACGCCCAGCUAAUUUUUGUAUUUUUAAUAGAGAUGGGGUUUCACCAUGUUUGCCAGGAUAGUCUCAAUCUCCUGACCUCGUGAUCUGCCCACCUCAG
rfam:Gorilla gorilla gorilla genomic chromosome, chr17, whole genome shotgun sequence